CUACCAUGGCAAUUACGGGUAACGGAGAAUUAGGGUUCGAUUCCGGAGAGGGAGCCUGAGAAACGGCUACCACAUCUACGGAAGGCAGCAGGCGCGAAAAUUGCCCAAUCCUGAUUCAGGGAGGCAGUGACAAGAAAUAACAACUCUCAACAUUGUUGAGAAGUGUAAUGAGGAUAAUUUACAAACCUUACCGAAAGCAAUUGGAGGGCAAGUCUGGUGCCAGCAGCCGCGGUAAUUCCAGCUCCAAAAGCGUAUAUUAAAGUUGUUGCAGUUAAAAAGCUCGUAGUUGAAGUUCUGGCUGUAUUGGGCCUCUGCACUUGAUGCGAAGGAACCAGCAGUCAUCCGCUUGCAAAUACAUGUUCUUCCUUAACCGGUAGACUGUAUAAGUAAGCAAUUUACCUUGAGAAAAACAGAGUGUUCCAGGCAGGUUUGUCCGGAAUGCAUUAGCAUGGAAUAAUAGAAUAUGACUAGAGUCGAUUUGUUGGUUAAAGGCUUUAGUAAUGAUUAAUAGGAACAAUCGGGGGCAUUGGUACUCGUCAGUCAGAGGUGAAAUUCUAAGAUUUGACGAAGACUAACUGAUGCGAAAGCGUUUGCCAAGAAUGUUUUCAUUAAUCAAGAACGAAAGUUAGGGGAUC
rnacentral:rRNA from 1 species